GAGGGUAUAGCACAGUGGUAGAGCACAUGUUUAGCGUGCAUGAGGUCAUGGGUUCAAUUCUCAGUACCUCCA
rnacentral:tRNA from 1 species